AACGUAGGAGACGAACGUUAUCCGGAGUUACUGGGCGUAAAGGGCGUGUAGGCGGUUUGUUAAGUCUGGCGUGAAAGCUCUCGGCUAAACCGGGAGAGGUCGUUGGAUACUGGCAAACUAGAGGAUGGUAGAGGCGUGUGGAAUUCCGGGUGUAGUGGUGAAAUGCGUAGAUAUCUGGAGGAACACCGGUGGCGAAGGCGGCAUCCUGGACCGGCAUUGACGCUGAGGCGCGAAAGCCAGGGGAGCAAAGCGGG
rnacentral:rRNA from 1 species